GCUAUACAUGCAAGUCGAGCGGACAGAUGGGAGCUUGCUCCCUGAUGUUAGCGGCGGACGGGUGAGUAACACGUGGGUAACCUGCCUGUAAGACUGGGAUAACUCCGGGAAACCGGGGCUAAUACCGGAUGCUUGAUUGAACCGCAUGGUUCAAUUAUAAAAGGUGGCUUUUAGCUACCACUUACAGAUGGACCCGCGGCGCAUUAGCUAGUUGGUGAGGUAACGGCUCACCAAGGCAACGAUGCGUAGCCGACCUGAGAGGGUGAUCGGCCACACUGGGACUGAGACACGGCCCAAACUCCUACGGGAGGCAGCAGUAGGGAAUCUUCCGCAAUGGACGAAAGUCUGACGGAGCAACGCCGCGUGAGUGAUGAAGGUUUUCGGAUCGUAAAACUCUGUUGUUAGGGAAGAACAAGUACCGUUCGAAUAGGGCGGUACCUUGACGGUACCUAACCAGAAAGCCACGGCUAACUACGUGCCAGCAGCCGCGGUAAUACGUAGGUGGCAAGCGUUGUCCGGAAUUAUUGGGCGUAAAGCGCGCGCAGGCGGUUUCUUAAGUCUGAUGUGAAAGCCCCCGGCUCAACCGGGGAGGGUCAUUGGAAACUGGGGAACUUGAGUGCAGAAGAGGAGAGUGGAAUUCCACGUGUAGCGGUGAAAUGCGUAGAGAUGUGGAGGAACACCAGUGGCGAAGGCGACUCUCUGGUCUGUAACUGACGCUGAGGCGCGAAAGCGUGGGGAGCGAACAGGAUUAGAUACCCUGGUAGUCCACGCCGUAAACGAUGAGUGCUAAGUGUUAGAGGGUUUCCGCCCUUUAGUGCUGCAGCAAACGCAUUAAGCACUCCGCCUGGGGAGUACGGUCGCAAGACUGAAACUCAAAGGAAUUGACGGGGGCCCGCACAAGCGGUGGAGCAUGUGGUUUAAUUCGAAGCAACGCGAAGAACCUUACCAGGUCUUGACAUCCUCUGACAACCCUAGAGAUAGGGCUUCCCCUUCGGGGGCAGAGUGACAGGUG
rnacentral:rRNA from 1 species